rnacentral:misc_RNA from 1 species
CUCAUCCCAUCUUAAGAAAAUAACUUUACAGUUUCAGAAAGCCAAAUUGUUGAUAGUGCAAAUUUGAUCAAAUUUACAAAAAUGAUAACAGUAUCAGUUGCGAUACAUAACACUGUUUCAGUCAUUUGAGCGGAACAUAAUUAAAUGUUUCCAAUAAAUGGGAUGAAUUUCAUUGAUAAGCUUUUGCAGCCACAAUGAAGAGAUCCUAAUGCCUAUUCCCAAAGCCACUAGAUCUGUUUCCAGCACUGGGACCGCCAGUACUCUGACGAAAUGAUCCCCACCCUGAGUCCCUAUCAAAUGAUACGUGUUGGAGAUGAGUCCAAUGCUCCCUUUCCCAUGCAUUAAAAUAAUUCCGGAAAGGAUUUUCUGUUUCUUGUAGAUUCUGGCCUGAUGAACUUGGAGGAAUGAUUAAGAAACUACCAUUAUGUUCAUGCUGAAGGGGUGCGGGUAGUAUCGAAGGCAAGCCCCUUGGAACAUCAAAUCUCCUCAUACCAUGAAUGAUAGGUGGUGGAAAGCCAGGCGAAUUGCUAGAAUGUUGACGAUGAUGGAAAGCAUGGGAAAUCUGGAUCCUUUCAUGGGUCCGAGCACUGCUUCCUGGAUGGUGAGGAACAACUGAAGAGGCAAAUGAGCUGCCAGCUGCAGAACCAGACCCAUGACCAAGUACAACUGGAUGUGGAAAAGAUGUGGACCUUGUUCUUGUAUCUGAUUCACCAUUUGAUGAUCUGAACGUCAGAGGAACAGAAGCAGGGUCAACACCAUUUAUGUGGCUACCAGAUACAGAGACAGGAGGGGACCUGCGGCCCCAACUAUGGUAUUGGAUAUUAAUGGCAGGAAAAGCCUGCGCGGUAAAGAUCUCAUGGUGUCCAGAUGAACCAUUCCAGUGAUGAUUGAAGUUGGGAUCAUCAAUGCUGCUAUCAUUAGAUCUUGAGGAGUUGGGAGGAAUUGACCCAACAUAUGCAACAUAUGAAUGAGCCACUGAUGAUGCAGCUGUGUGUUCAGCAUAAACUGAAUGGUGUCCCCUUAAGUCAUGAUAGGUGGUUGAUGGUGAUU